UCCGGAUUCAUUGGGUUUAAAGGGUGCGUAGGCGGAUUAUUAAGUCAGGGGGUGAAAGUUGCGGCUCAACCGUAAAAUUGCCUUUGAUACUGGUAAUCUUGAGUACAUUUGAGGUAGGCGGGAAUGUGAUGUGUAGCGGUGAAAUGCUUAGAUAUAUCACAGAACACCGAUUGCGAAGGCAGCUUACUAAACUGUAACUGACGCUGAGGCACGAAAGCGUGGGUAUCGAACAGGAUUAGAUACCCUGGUAGUCCACGCCGUAAACGAUGAUUACUAGUUGUUUGCAAUACACCGUAAGCGACAAAGCGAAAGCAUUAAGUAAUCCACCUGGGGAGUACGUUGGCAACAAUGAAACUCAAAGGAAUUGACGGGGGCCCGCACAAGCGGAGGAACAUGUGGUUUAAUUCGAUGAUACGCGAGGAACCUUACCUGGACUUAAAAGGGGAGUGACAGACUUAGAGAUAGGUUUUUCUUCGGACACUCUUCAAGGUGCUGCAUGGUUGUCGUCAGCUCGUGCCGUGAGGUGUCGGGUUAAGUCCCAUAACGAGCGCAACCCACGUUGUUAGUUACCAGCACAUAAUGGUGGGCACUCUAACAAGACUGCCGGUGUAAACCGCGAGGAAGGUGCGGAUGACGUCAAAUCAGCACGGCCCUUACGUCCAGGGCUACACACGUGUUACAAUGGCCGGUACAGAGGGCAGCUACUUGGUGACAAGAUGCGAAUCUCGAAAACCGGUCUCAGUUCGGAUCGAAGUCUGCAACCCGACUUCGUGAAGCUGGAUUCGCUAGUAAUCGCAUAUCAGCCAUGAUGCGGUGAAUACGUUCCCGGGCCUUGUACACACCGCCCGUCAAACCAUGGAAGCCGGGGGUACCUG
rnacentral:rRNA from 1 species